UGUUAAUCUCUGCCCCCCAAGCCUGUAAACUCUAGAGGCGCAGACCUCCCAGAUUUCAAUCAUGUUUUUGUUUCCUAUGGUUUUCAUCAGAGUAGAACCUGCCACCUCAGGGACAGUGCUGCCAAGCUACCAGUCUGCCAACACUUAUAAUUGAUUCUGUCUCCUACACCCAUCCUCCCACACCCAGCCUGCAUUCCCAACCUAACUUCCAGCCCCUCCUGUGUUUGGCAUGGUCCUUUGAGGGCAUGGCCAAGAUUCAUCCCAAGCCUGUGGUUGUCCUGCAAUUCAACAGAGAAAUUUCUCAGGAAAGUUGGGGGAAGGGAAGGGUCAGAAUAAGGGAGAAAAACAUCCUUUUUGUUUUCUCAAAUGGUGUCUUGCUUCCCUUUCAUUUAGCUAAGCUUGAGGUCAAGUCUUAGAUACUCCUAAAAUUGGAAAGGGGGGCACAUAGAGGCCACUAGGAUCCUGAAUUGUCUCUCACCAGGCUGCCCUCUAGGCCUGGAGGGGCUCAUAUACCUCUCCCAGUCAGCAAACUGAGGCUUCUCUGGCCAGCCACAUCAUAUUCUCAGUGCUAGGAGAAAAUUGCCCAGAAAUAGUCCACUUUCCAUCUGGAUUAAGGGCCCACCCCAGCCUCACCCAGGUCCCGGGCUGCAGAGGAUUCCAUGAGGAGAAAGUUUAACACACACCGAGAACAAAUCCCCAGGGUUUUCCAAGACUACAAACUUGGAGAGAAAGGACUGGGCAGGGCUGGAUUUGAACACAAUAUCUGAUAAGGAACUUGGGGAUUGUUGGGACCCCACCCUGGCUCCUCUUCCGGACUUACCCACCCCUCUGGUAUAUGGGGUGGGGUGAGGCAAGGCAGCUCUGGUCCUGUGCCCACUUCUCACUGCUCAGCCCCCACCUACAUUUGUUAUGCUGGGUCCCUCUCCCUUAGGGGUGGUAUUCUAAUGAAGCCUUUCACUUUCCCUGCUGGAGUUUCAUUAAGGAAAUUUCAGUUCCUCAAUGCAGUUAAAAAAUUUUUUUUUUGUUCUCCACUUGGGAUAGGAACUGUUGUAGUCUCCAGGGGAAACUUGUAAGGGAUGUGGAGCUCUCCUCUCCUCUGACCAGGCCUCCAGAUAAUAGUAUGCUGAUGUGGAGAUUCAAGUGACCAAUAUUGAACUUUAUCCCAUGGAGGAAGAUGCCCAGAGUGUAUCCUUCUUUUUUGGUUUCAACGAUUGAAUCCAGGGGCACUUAACCACUGAACCACAUCCCCAGCCCUUUUUAUGUUUUAUUUUGAGACGGGGUCUCACUAAGUUGCUGAGGCUGGCUUUGAACUCAUGAUCCUCCUGUCUCAGCCUCCAUUCCACCGGGAUUACAGGUGUGUGCCCUGCAAAGUGCAUCCUAAUACAACCAAUGGUGCUUAUUUCACUGCCAUGAAUAUUUCACUUCCACUAGGCAAAGAGGGACAAUCAGGGCAGGCAGAUUGCUGAGGGCUUAUUGAUAGGACACCAAAGUGAAUGGACAGGGGGCUAGAGCAGACUCUGUCUGACAUCAAAUGGAGGGACACUUG
rnacentral:lncRNA from 1 species